AAAUGACCAAAUAUCAAAUUCUAACCAAAAAAUGAUAUCAAAAUAGUAAAGUUCAAAUGUUUAAUGUUGAAUAAUACAAAGAGGAAGAUAUAAAUGGCAAUUUAGGUCUCUAAAAUACAUAAAAAUUAGAAACUAGGUCUCUAUAAAGCGCUAGGAGUUAAGCGGGUGGACAGAAGGCCCAACGCCUAGGCGGGGGCCUAGGUGUCCUAGGCGGCCCGGGGGGGCCUAGCGCCUAGGCG
rnacentral:lncRNA from 1 species